rnacentral:rRNA from 1 species
GACGAACGCUGGCGGCGUGCUUAACACAUGCAAGUCGAACGGAAAGGCCCUGCUUUUGUGGGGUGCUCGAGUGGCGAACGGGUGAGUAACACGUGAGUAACCUGCCCUUGACUUUGGGAUAACUUCAGGAAACUGGGGCUAAUACCGGAUAGGAGCUCCUGCUGCAUGGUGGGGGUUGGAAAGUUUCGGCGGUUGGGGAUGGACGCGCGGCUUAUCAGCUUGUUGGUGGGGUAGUGGCUUACCAAGGCUUUGACGGGUAGCCGGCCUGAGAGGGUGACCGGCCACAUUGGGACUGAGAUACGGCGCAGACUCCUACGGGAGGCAGAAGUGGGGAGUAUUGCACAAUGGGCGGAAGCCUGAGGCAGCAACGCCGCGUGCGGGAUGACGGCCUUCGGGUUGUGAACCGCUUUCGCCUGUGACGAAGCGGGAGUGACGGUAAUGGGUAAAGAAGCACCGGCUAACUACGUG